AGGGUUCGAUUAUGGCUCAGGACGAACGCUGGCGGCAUGCUUAACACAUGCAAGUCGAACGAGAAAACUUCUUCGGAAGUGAUUAAAGUGGCGCACGGGUGAGUAACGCGUAGACAAUCUGCCCUUCAGUCCGGGACAACUUUCCGAAAGGGGAGCUAAUACCGGAUAACAAUGUUUAACAUAAGUUGAAUAUUUGAAAGCUCCGGCGCUGAUGGAUGAGUCUGCGUCCCAUUAGCUUGUUGGUGCGGUAGUGGCGCACCAAGGCCGCGAUGGGUAGCGGGUUUGAGAGGACGAUCCGCCACACUGGAACUGAGACACGGUCCAGACUCCUACGGGAGGCAGCAGUGGGGAAUAUUGCACAAUGGAGGAAACUCUGAUGCAGCAAUGCCGCGUGAGUGAAGAAGGCCCUUGGGUCGUAAAGCUCUUUUAUGGGGGAAGAUGAUGACGGUACCCCAGGAAUAAGCACCGGCUAACUACGUGCCAGCAGCCGCGGUAAUAC
rnacentral:rRNA from 1 species